GCCUCGGUGGCUCAGUGGUAGAGCGUUCCCUUGGUAAGGGAAAGGUCGCGAGUUCAAUUCUCGUCCGAGGCU
rnacentral:tRNA from 1 species